CUGUGACAUACCACUUGUUGCCUCGGCGGAUCAGCCCGCUCCCGGUAAAACGGGACGGCCCGCCAGAGGACCCCUAAACUCUGUUUCUAUAUGUAACUUCUGAGUAAAACCAUAAAUAAAUCAAAACUUUCAACAACGGAUCUCUUGGUUCUGGCAUCGAUGAAGAACGCAGCAAAAUGCGAUAAGUAAUGUGAAUUGCAGAAUUCAGUGAAUCAUCGAAUCUUUGAACGCACAUUGCGCCCGCCAGUAUUCUGGCGGGCAUGCCUGUUCGAGCGUCAUUUCAACCCUCAAGCACAGCUUGGUGUUGGGACUCGCGUUAAUUCGCGUUCCCCAAAUUGAUUGGCGGUCACGUCGAGCUUCCAUAGCGUAGUAGUAAAACCCUCGUUACUGGUAAUCGUCGCGGCCACGCCGUUAAACCCCAACUUCUGAAUGUUGACCUCGGAUCAGGUAGGAAUACCCGCUGAACUUAAGCAUAUCA
rnacentral:rRNA from 1 species